CAUACUCCCAGGUCCGGUUCAACCUCCCGUGCGACCCACAACAUGCCUCGCCUCCUGUACCACCCACGGCGUGCCUCCUCAUAAAAUUAGGUGAGAUAAUUAUUUAAGUUGUUGGAACAAAAUCCUUUUUUAUAGGAAUACAGAACGUCAGCCUUGAAGCUAAUCUCAUCGAUCUAUUAUUCUCGCGCAUGCCUCGCUCAGACGGCGGCUGACCUAAUUCUUGUAGCUUCGUCGCCGCGGACGGCGGCUCCCUGCAUGCAUCGGCAUGAAACAAGACGACGCCCCCGUUUUUGCCCAGCAGGUCUCCGACGUCGAGCGCUCUCCACCGGCCACUCCCCCCGUCAGAAUCAGCCAUGACUCACAUGGGGUCUCCGGUGUUGAGCGCUCUCCACCGGCCACUCCCCCCGUCAGAAUCAGCCACGACUCACACGGGUGUCUCCACUCCCAGCCAUACACGUCCAGGAAAGGCACCUUGUCACGCAGCGCUACUCGUGUCAUUGAUAAAUACCGCCGCAAGAGAGCCACAAAUAAGUCGACGAAAGGCAAUGCAACUAGCACCAGAAUAAAUUCAAGAUGCCAACCAAAGUGUGUCAUUAGUUUGAUUAACGGUUUUGAUGACAUGAAAAAGGAUCUUGUCCGUCAAACAGGGCUUCACGGCAUCCUUCAGCUGAAGUUAACUAAAGUUAACAGACAGUAUGGCGCCUGGCUUCUGAGCAAGAUUGAUGUUGAUUCAUGUGCCAUCGUAGCUGAUGUUCAUAAAGUGGUUCCCUUCUCUGCGAGGGACGUUAAUUCAGUCUUGGGUGUACCAUGCAGCGGGAGAACCAUUGAGACCUGUAACCAAGAUGAGGUAGAAAGGAGUAAGAGGAUUCUUUGUGAUAUUUUUGAGGUUCCACACUUUUCACAGGUUACUGUUAAAUUGUUGGAGACAAUUCUUAAUAAACAAUAUUCAUAUCCGAUGAGCUUAAAGGACCAAUGAUCGUUCAAGGCGGCAUUUGUCCUUUAUGUCAUGACAAAGUUCUUGGCUCCGCAAUCACUGGCAAACUACAUUUCCACAAGGUAUAUCAGCGCAGUAGCUGAUAUUGACAAUAUCUCAUCAUACAACUGGGCACAGUUCAUCGUCGACGACCUCUUGAAUUCUGCCAGCUUGAUGCCCAAACGAUUUCAUAAUUCUUCUCAAGUAUCAAUUAACGGGUGUAUACUAUUCCUCCAGACAAUUUAUCUGGACCAUAUUAUGCCAUCAAAUGACGAUGUCAACUGUGAAACCAGUCCUAGGAUUGCGGCAUUUGAUGAUGACCUCGUCACCCGCAUUAUCAUGAAUGACAUGAAGUGCAAACACAACAUUGGGUUCCCUUUCCCUCAGUUUGGGAAGCUGCAGCUCAUGAAACCACCAAGUAUUUACUCCCGUGCACCAGAAGAGGGCUCUCAAGAAAAUCAUCAUUCGACUCCGAGCGCAACCAUUAACCAACCACGUGUCUCCAACAUUUCAGAAUACUUGCAGACACGUUUCAAAUCAACUAAAUUACGGUCGAUAUAUGGAGAAGAGGCUUCUUCUUCCAUUAAGGAUGCAAUCACCAGUGCUGAAGGACAAUUUUCAUCUAUUUUGCAAGAUAUUUCAGAUUUUGAAAACUUUUCUCACAAUCCAGUAGCCAUUGAAGCAACUCAAAAACUUAACAAAAUUCUGGUUACUACUGUUUUCAAUUCGAUAAAAAUUGCAGUAAGGGCCACCCUUCGUAAUGUUCUUUCGGACAACCACAAUAGGUCCGGCGGUCUGGGCAGUCAUGGUGCACUUCAUUCGAACCCCCCAUCAGGCCUUACCCCACCAUCCUUCAGCAAGUAUACUGCUUCACCAUGCCAACAUACAAGCACGCUUGACAGGGAUCAUCCACAACCGGCAUCUCAAGGCAACAUUGGUUCAUGUAGCACAACAAGUAAUAUGUACAACAAUCUAGCAUCCCGCACUCCACCAACCACUCAUAAUGCUUCUGCCUCACCAAGCAAGCAGAAAUCGUCAAUCUCCCCAGCAUCUGCUGCUCGCCUGGCACAAGAGUGGACCGUCGCACUAAGUGCCGAGGAUACCAAUGGAGAUGAACAACAACGUAGAUACAUAGUACAAAACCCACCAUCCCACCUUCUAAGAGAUAAAAACACCCGAAAAAUAAAUCGAAACAAGAAACUUUUGUCCCCCUUUCAGACCAAGCAAUGCUCAAUAACACGUAUUGAUACGCGGGUAGCCCGCUCAACUUAUUCGUACAUUCAAGAAAUAUCAAAUGAAGCCUUGUUGGAUGAAGUAUGGCUUCAAAGUUCUUGUCCGUUCAACAUCUCCAUAAAGUUACGCACUCUCCAGCAAUCCAUUGCUCGUCGUGGCUGGAUGGAUACCGACUGCUUAAAUUUUGCGAUCCGCAAAAUGUUCUUCGAUGAUGUGGAGCGGUUCGAGGGAACAAACUGAAGGAAAUAUGCCCUAGAGGCAAUAAUAAAGUUAUUAUUUAUUUCCUUAUAAUCAUGAUAAAUGUUUAUUAUUCAUGCUAGAAUUGUAUUAACCGGAAACAUAAUACAUGUGUGAAUACAUAGACAAACAAAGUGUCACUAA
rnacentral:rRNA from 1 species